rnacentral:rRNA from 3 species
AUCGUACCCCAAACCGACACAGGUGGUCAGGUAGAGAAUACCAAGGCGCUUGAGAGAACUCGGGUGAAGGAACUAGGCAAAAUGGUGCCGUAACUUCGGGAGAAGGCACGCUGAUAUGUAGGUGAAGUCCCUGCGGACGGAGCUGAAAUCAGUCGAAGAUACCAGCUGGCUGCAACUGUUUAUUAAAAACACAGCACUGUGCAAACACGAAAGUGGACGUAUACGGUGUGACGCCUGCCCGGUG